ACGACUAAGGUUCAGUACGAUCUAAUAUCCUCAACAGGCCCGUUGAAUUGAGCUCAGUUAUUUGACUUAAUGUUUGAGCAAUUCUAGGAUGAUUUGAGGGCGGGGAAUGAUGGAUUUUGGAUUUGAGAAGCCUGGUGGUCAUUUGGUGUUAAUGUAGCGGUGAUUGGUGGUGGCACCGCCACCGGAGAAACUUAAGCAGCGCUAGGGUUUUCAGUUGUAAUUGAAUAUUUGAGAAAUUCUAGCCGAAUUUGAGGGAAAGUGGCCAGAUAUUUGGGAAGAAGGGGUCUAGGAGAGGUGGCG
rnacentral:lncRNA from 1 species